AGUGUAUGUAAAAAAAGUGCCCUCCUUCUUUAAUUUUUUUUGUUUGUCAGCCGUAACAUUUGGAUCAUGAGGAUUUUUGGAACCCUCUACGUUACCACAGCAGAUCCUCCAUGAUCCUCGUUUACACCGAAUGUAGUCCUUAUACCUGCGCUGAGCGAUUUUGGAAUCACCCAGUCCACAGGCAGCUUAAUUUUCGCAUGACCCUGUAUAGAGCCUGCGAACCAUCUUACGAACCUUUUCAAGGUUUAAGUUCCAACGAGGUGUUCUAUUCGUUCAACGAAAGGUCCCCAGUUUCCCGCUGACCUCAUGAGGCCGUUAUGUCGUCGCUUACUAAUGCGGCCGCCUCUUACAUCUACCCUGCUUUGCGGCAGAGCUAAGGUGUCCAUCCAACCGGCGCAUACCAUAUACGUCUAAUCAGACACCCUCCAAACCGUCAUCAUUGAAAAGGAGCCCAGCGUCAGAUCGAUAACCUCUUGCCUCCGCGCUGUGACCAAGUACUCCAGGUGAUCGCUCCACGAGUUCGUAUCCGCGCUGCCCCACGCAACACGGUGUACGUUUGCAUCAUAGCCAACCACAAGAGGGAGCCCACAGUACACUAUCAACUCAGCCAGUUCCCUGGUAGGAUCUAGUAUGAAGCUAUCUCUAGCUAUAAGAAAAAUAUAUUGCUAUGGAGUGGCUGCGCCUAUACGAGCGUGAGAUUUCGAAGACUCAUUUGAAGUCAGUGAUGGGCAUUUGCAACUCAUUUAAAUUUGAGAAAAAUCAUUCAAGGUGAAUAUCCUGGCGCCGUAGUCGAUGUCAUGAGUUUUAUUGGGAAAGACUGUAGGUCUCAGAAUGGGUGUGAAUUAGAAAAACCAGGUAGCGGAAAUUUUUUUGUUGGGAGAGAAUCGAGAGACAAUACGCGUUAAGCAACGAUAGCGUUUGCACCAAGCGGUUAAAAAAGGUUUAAGUUGACCACCCGUAAGUUUACACGGGGUGGUUUGUGAAGGAUUCACGUCGUAGCUCGAACAAUUAGCGCGAAAUGGUCAGCGAAGUUAAGUGAUAGGUGAAGUGAGGAACUUCUGGACUUUUAACGUGAAGAACCGUUACAACAACUCGUUGGAGACCAUGGUGUGAGGACACUUGAGCCACUACUGCAACUUCCAACAGCUUCUACCGCUCACUCGCCCUUCUUCUUAUAAUGUAAAGUACUAAAAUAUGUUCAGGUUCUGUUUUUUUGCCCCACAAAACGGCCAUCUGUAACUACUGUAACCGUAGAUACAUUAAUCAAGUUGUCAUUCUAUACGGUUCAAUGUUUUCCGAACAGAAGAUUCUCCCUGACCAUUAAAGCAUUCCACCUGACAAAAGUUCGACGAUACGAUAGGCGAAUUUAUUUACAAAAAAUCGUGUUUUAAUCAAUCGAGAAAAACGUAUAAAUAUUAAUAAACAAGCAAAACCUUUCAAGUAUCGCGAAACCAUACGCGGAAUUUUUUUGACUGUACGGCCAAAGUUGUUAAUGUCCCUCAUUUAUCUUCGUUAAUUCGGCAGAACAGCUUUAGCUCUUGCAUCCUCUAUUUUGGCAAACCGCAAGAGUGCAAGGUCGUAGGAGGCGAUAAAAAUUCAACUGAACUGCAGGUCACAGCUCGCUAGAUGACAACAACCCGGUUAUUCAACCACUGAGGAGGUGCGUAAGAGGCCGAAGAACACUUCAUUACGAAUUCUCCUCGCGAAUUUUGAUUAAUACUUAUUGGGCAAAAAAAAUCAGUGAGCCAGUCCAUCACCGGUACGAUGAUUUACGAGGAAGCAUUAAAUCAAAAAUCUCGAAGGUGUUUCGAAUACACGCUACCGAAUUUUCCUUAACAAUGUAUAAGUGAUGGUCUUCGAAAAUGUGCUACACGCAAUUUAAAUGCAAAUCACACUUUACAUUCCAAAAUUCAGGCCGUAUAUUAUAUUUUUGUGAACGCAAACAUGUUAUGAUAGGUGACUAUGCCAAUUUGUUCGUUUGAAUCGAACGAAGUAUGACACAUCGAGCCUUUAGGUCAACCUGCGCGCAUUUUGUUCCACGCGAUAAAUAAAAUUCUUUAAAUAGUUUUCAUGUUAAUUUAUUCGUCUUGUUAAUAUUCCGAUACGUGCUUUCAAUUACUUUUCAGAUGGAUCCUCCUUAUGUCCGGAGACGGGUGUAUUUAAAUCAGGUCCAUUGAACAAAUCUGAGAAGAAUAACUUCAAAAAAGUCUAUUAGUGUAAAAACUAUUAGAAACUCUCGUAACACCUAUGCAGUCCCCAAGCGUUUCGGAAGACGACUGGUCCUAGUGAAUGGACUUAGGAGUCGUUAUUAGUAUUGGCUUUACUGUUGUAUGUCUGGACACUAUUGACCCGGCUGGGCUUAGUUCGGUCGAUGGAAGAUUUUGGAGAACAGAGUGAGGUAGUGGCGAAAUCAUCGACCUAGACCCUAGACAGUUCUGUAAAAGGCGACUAGAAGGUGGUUUGCAAGGAAAGAACGUUAUUCAGAGCAACCAGAUGUUUGCCUCACUGGGCAUAAAAUAAAAUUGAACCUCUUAGGCUAGUCAUUGGAGAUUUUUAUCUGGAAAAUAAGUCCGGAAGUUUUGAAACUUUGUAGGUUUAUAGGUUUUGGGAUCUAGAACUAAAUUCACAGAAUGCACAAUCCGAGACAUGCCGCCGGCGCCGCCAUCUUGCCAAGAUGGCGCCCAAAAACGGUUUUUGCAAAUAUCUCCAAAACUAUGCGUGUUUCGAAAAAGUAUGUAGAGCGAAAAAUUAAAGAGGAGGAAGUUUCCUAUGAAAUAUGUUCCUAGUAAAUAUUUAUCACGAAAUAAUGGCAUAUCUUUUAUUCAAUUAAUCAAUUAAUUCAUUAAUUAAUCCAUGUUAAUAAUUUAUGAUCAAUUAAUUCUGAUUUCAAAUGCUAUACUUGUUUCCACACCACCCAAGAGGUAGAGUACACGGCGCGUUUUUUUAACGUGGUUUCCCCUGUAGGCCUAAUCCACUUAGGUACUAAAAUUAUCUUUGGCAAAGGCCAAACGGACCUUGCUCGUUGAUUUCCAUAUCUUCAACGGGGAAAAUGGUUACCUCAGCUUCAGAAUCGAAGUCGAUUUCCUUCAACUCGUCGGACUCUCCUUCCGGACUCUCCUUCUGCAGUAGAAUGCAGCAGCGAAUGGAGAUCUUCCUCAUCGGAUUCGUCCAGUGUCACUUGGCUAAUAUUUUCACAAGUCUUCCCAUUGCAGUUGCAGACACCUCAAAUCCUUGAACAAUCUCAAUCCUGCUUUCCUGCAUCCGCAGGCUCUACCACAAGCCGCCUUGCACUUACAAGAUAAAAAAGCAAGUAGUAGUGCUUUGGGAGCAGGAUAUCUUUUAAAGUAGUUACUGGAGUGAGGCCAGUUUGUGUUCUUCCAACCCCAUUCUUUAACUACUUUCGGACAGCCACGCCAUAGUUGAACCUGAUAGUAUGUUCUCAAUGAAUGCUGUCGUGCAGCUGCGCUUGUCGGUGGUAAGGAUGCCAAAUUAAAUUUACUUUUUGCUACCGACUUCACAAAACACAGGUAUCGAUAUUUAUCAAGAUUGAUCUCAUUGUGUCUUUGGAUCCAUAGAGUACAAGGAAAAAUUUCCCACCGACACAGGCAACUUCAUCAGCGGUAGCAUGUUUAUUUUUAAAAACUUGAAUAUGAUCUUGUAACUCUUUAUGUUUUUGUAAUGUUGUUAAAAACUUCAUUUUUCCUUGGUUAAAUAAGGCCGACGUCGUAUCACACCCACUUAUUGAGUGAAGGAACAAGAUGUUAUCCUUCACUACUUCGGUUCCUUUGAAACUUUGACGGGUAAAUAGCCAGCGCCCUCUGUUGGAGCUUUAUUGCAGGUGUGCACAUCGACAUCUGCACUUAUGCUAGGAAUGUGCCGGUUUGUCAGUAAAUUAUAAAUAUAACGAGAAACCAAUUGAAUAGCCCGUUUUACUAUAAAAGAUAAAUUUAUACGCAUAGGUAUAUGGAGAUAGGGGCAGUUUAUAGAAAUUAACAGAAUAUGUUGUCAUUCAAUCACCUCUUGAGCCUAAACGGCUCACUUUAGCAAAAAUAUGCUAAGAAGAUUUCUUGUAGAAAAUUCCUGCCUCUUCAAUUUUGAUAUCAACAUAUUUUUUCGAA